rnacentral:rRNA from 1 species
UGGGCGGCGUGCCUAAUACAUGCAAGUCGAGCGGACAGAUGGGAGCUUGCUCCCUGAUGUUAGCGGCGGACGGGUGAGUAACACGUGGGUAACCUGCCUGUAAGACUGGGAUAACUCCGGGAAACCGGGGCUAAUACCGGAUGCUUGUUUGAACCGCAUGGUUCAAACAUAAAAGGUGGCUUCGGCUACCACUUACAGAUGGACCCGCGGCGCAUUAGCUAGUUGGUGAGGUAAUGGCUCACCAAGGCAACGAUGCGUAGCCGACCUGAGAGGGUGAUCGGCCACACUGGGACUGAGACACGGCCCAGACUCCUACGGGAGGCAGCAGUAGGGAAUCUUCCGCAAUGGACGAAAGUCUGACGGAGCAACGCCGCGUGAGUGAUGAAGGUUUUCGGAUCGUAAAGCUCUGUUGUUAGGGAAGAACAAGUGCCGUUCAAAUAGGGCGGCACCUUGACGGUACCUAACCAGAAAGCCACGGCUAACUACGUGCCAGCAGCCGCGGUAAUACGUAGGUGGCAAGCGUUGUCCGGAAUUAUUGGGCGUAAAGGGCUCGCAGGCGGUUUCUUAAGUCUGAUGUGAAAGCCCCCGGCUCAACCGGGGAGGGUCAUUGGAAACUGGGGAACUUGAGUGCAGAAGAGGAGAGUGGAAUUCCACGUGUAGCGGUGAAAUGCGUAGAGAUGUGGAGGAACACCAGUGGCGAAGGCGACUCUCUGGUCUGUAACUGACGCUGAGGAGCGAAAGCGUGGGGAGCGAACAGGAUUAGAUACCCUGGUAGUCCACGCCGUAAACGAUGAGUGCUAAGUGUUAGGGGGUUUCCGCCCCUUAGUGCUGCAGCUAACGCAUUAAGCACUCCGCCUGGGGAGUACGGUCGCAAGACUGAAACUCAAAGGAAUUGACGGGGGCCCGCACAAGCGGUGGAGCAUGUGGUUUAAUUCGAAGCAACGCGAAGAACCUUACCAGGUCUUGACAUCCUCUGACACCCCUAGAGAUAGGGCUUCCCCUUCGGGGGCAGAGUGACAGGUGGUGCAUGGUUGUCGUCAGCUCGUGUCGUGAGAUGUUGGGUUAAGUCCCGCAACGAGCGCAACCCUUGAUCUUAGUUGCCAGCAUUCAGUUGGGCACUCUAAGGUGACUGCCGGUGACAAACCGGAGGAAGGUGGGGAUGACGUCAAAUCAUCAUGCCCCUUAUGACCUGGGCUACACACGUGCUACAAUGGACAGAACAAAGGGCAGCGAGACCGCGAGGUUAAGCCAAUCCCACAAAUCUGUUCUCAGUUCGGAUCGCAGUCUGCAACUCGACUGCGUGAAGCUGGAAUCGCUAGUAAUCGCGGAUCAGCAUGCCGCGG